AGUCACUGACUAUUAGACUACCCGUGUAGUCCGAGGGUAGUAAACGCUGCAGACUUGGUGUUGGAAAUCCUUCGAGGGUAUUCAGUGCCGGAGAGAAGUUGUUAAGUCUGCUACGUUGGGGAGUACGUCCGCAAGGAUGAAAACUUAAAGGAAUUGGCGGGGGAGCACCGCAACGGGAGGAGCGUGCGGUUUAAUUGGAUUCAACACCGGAAAACUCACCAGGGGAGACUGUUACAUGAAACCCAGACUAAUGAUCUUGGUUGAUUUUCAG
rnacentral:rRNA from 1 species